GCAGAUCCCGUCGAAGUAAGGUCUAGCCAACCGCUCCGUAUCGAGUCUUAGAGGUAUUGCGGUAACGUGAUGCUUUAAGCGUAGACAGAAAGUCAGCGAGGUAGAAUUGACCGGUUGGUAACCGGCAGUGAACGGUAUCGAGCCCCGAAAAUGCUGUAACUAAUGAGGAUGGCCGAAGCGGUUGGGAACGUGGAAGGCAACAGCUAUCUGUACGAAAAUGGCGAGUGCGGAUAGACACCUCCGGGGUCUAAGGCCC
rfam:Dehalobacter sp. CF, complete genome.